rnacentral:rRNA from 1 species
AACGAACGCUGGCGGCAUGCCUAACACAUGCAAGUCGAACGAGGCCUUCGGGUCUAGUGGCGCACGGGUGCGUAACGCGUGGGAACCUGCCCUUAGGUUCGGAAUAACUCCCCGAAAGGGGUGCUAAUACCGGAUAAUGUCUUAGGACCAAAGAUUUAUCGCCUUUGGAUGGGCCCGAGUUGGAUUAGCUAGUUGGUAGGGUAAAAGCCUACCAAGGCGACGAUCCAUAGCUGGUCUGAGAGGAUGAUCAGCCACACUGGGACUGAGACACGGCCCAGACUCCUACGGGAGGCAGCAGUGGGGAAUAUUGGACAAUGGGCGAAAGCCUGAUCCAGCAAUGCCGCGUGAGUGAUGAGGGCCUUAGGGUUGUAAAGCUCUUUUACCCGGGAUGAUAAUGACAGUACCGGGAGAAUAAGCUCCGGCUAACUCCGUG